GACAGAGGGGGGCAAGCGUUGCUCGGAAUCACUGGGCGUAAAGAGCUCGUAGGCGGCUUGUCGCGUCGACUGUGAAAACCCGCGGCUCAACCGCGGGCCUGCAGCCGAUACGGGCAGGCUAGAGUUCGGUAGGGGGAGACUGGAAUUCCUGGUAUAGCGGUGAAAUGCGUAGAUAUCUGGAGGAACACCGGUGGCGAAGGCGGCAUCCUGGGCCGGUAGUUGACGCUGAGGAGCGAAAGCCAGGG
rnacentral:rRNA from 1 species